rnacentral:rRNA from 1 species
UUAUCCUACGGGGCGCAGCAGUAGGGAAUCUUCCACAAUGGACGAAAGUCUGAUGGAGCAACGCCGCGUGAGUGAAGAAGGGUUUCGGCUCGUAAAGCUCUGUUGGUAGUGAAGAAAGAUAGAGGUAGUAACUGGCCUUUAUUUGACGGUAAUUACUUAGAAAGUCACGGCUAACUACGUGCCAGCAGCCGCGGUAAUACGUAGGUGGCAAGCGUUGUCCGGAUUUAUUGGGCGUAAAGCGAGUGCAGGCGGGUCCAUAAAUCUGGUGUGAAAACCUUUGGCUCAACCGGAGAAAU